UUUGUUAACAUGAUAACAAGUUCAAGUCUGGCGUUUAUGGUUUAAAAAAAAGUCAAAAUUAUAAGUAGUUUGAGAUUAAAUAAAAUUUUAAAACAUGGGAUUAAAACGAAAGUUGAGAAAAGGCUUUAGAAAGACUUGUUUAUGUAUGUGUUGUGGUGCAAAUAAUAAAAAUCAUGAAGAUACGCCCAAGACCGAAACAGAAUCUGAAAAUGUACAAUCUCUUCUUUUAAAAGCUCUACAGAAUCAAAUCGAGGAACAAAAGCGGCAAGCACAGCUUAUGCAAAUGAUAAUAUAUCUUCUGAGAGUACUGCAACAAUUCUCAAAUUCACAAAGUUAUUUUCAGAAAAAUCAUUCAGGACAAACUUUUUCCCAAUGUAUAUUGCAAGUGUCAUACCAAAAUUUAUUUCAACCUCAGAGGAAUGAAAGAAGUAAAUCUUUGAUGGUUAUCCAUCCUGAUAAAAAUUUAUCUAUGAAUAAAUCGUCAUCUUUUUGUUUAAAUAAAACAAAUUAUGGAACUUAUCCCACUAUUAAACAAAGUCUUACGAUCGAUAAAGCUAUUCAGAUAAGUUCAGAAAAUAGGUCUAGAUUUAUUCAGACUAACGAAUCCAAUAACUCGGAUCUUACUAUAUUUAAAAUGCAUCUUAUUAAAAUAAUGAAGAAUUUAAAAGAAAAUAUUGUUGCAAUUACACAGCUAUUACUUAAAGAAGAAAAUACGAACUUACAGAAUUACUCUUUGUCACAAGAUGCGCAUAUGUUCCAGGGUAAUGUUAGAGGAAGACAGUACGACCCUCAAUUUUUAAGAGCUAGGAUUAGGGCUUUGAAUUUUGCAAAGUUUUAUAAUUUAGGGAAAUCUGAGAAGAAACAAAAAGAAAUAGCUAAAUCCGAGAUUUUAACUUAAUUUUAAUCUUAUUUAAUAUUAGCAAAAUACAGUAUUUUAUUUAUAAAUUGUUUGUUACAAUUUUUACAUUUAAUAUGAUCAAUUAUGUGAUCAAAUUCAAGUGGAAUAGUAAUUAAUAAAGGAAAUUUUCGUAUUUA